AGGAGGAACAGCCACACUGGUGGCGGCCAGCUGUCCAGCCCUGGAGUCAGCUCCCGCAGUAACUACCCCAGCUCCCAGUCUGCAGGGGCCUGGAUGCUCCGGGAGUGG
rfam:Canis lupus familiaris chromosome 16, whole genome shotgun sequence.